rnacentral:rRNA from 1 species
UACGUAGGGCGCAAGCGUUGUCCGGAAUCAUUGGGCGUAAAGCGCACGUAGGCGGUUCGUUAUGUCGGAUGUGAAAGCCCUCGGCUUAACCGGGGAAGUGCAUCCGAAACUGGCGAGCUUGAGUACUAAAGAGGGUCGCGGAAUUCCCGGUGUAGAGGUGAAAUUCGUAGAUAUCGGGAGGAACACCAGCGGCGAAGGCGGCGACCUGGGUAGAUACUGACGCUGAGGUGCGAAAGCGUGGGGAGCAAACAGG